rnacentral:rRNA from 1 species
GACGAACGCUGGCGGCGUGCUUAACACAUGCAAGUCGAGGGCACGGGGCAACCCGUGACCGGCGAACGGGUGCGUAACACGUGAGCGACCUGCCGAUCCGCGGGGGAUAGCCGGCCCAACGGCCGGGUAAUACCGCAUACGCUUGGCGCCGGGCAUCCCGGGCCAAGGAAACCUCCGGGGCGGAUCGAGGGGCUCGCGGCCUAUCAGCUAGUUGGUGCGGUAACGGCGCACCAAGGCGACGACGGGUAGCUGGUCUGAGAGGAUGGCCAGCCACAUUGGAACUGAGAGACGGCCCAGACUCCUACGGGAGGCAGCAGUGGGGAAUCUUGCGCAAUGGCCGCAAGGCUGACGCAGCGACGCCGCGUGUGGGAGGACGCCCCUCGGGGUGUAAACCUCUUUCAGUACCGACGAAGCGCAAGUGACGGUAGGUACAGAAGAAGGACCGGCCAACUACGUGCCAGCAGCCGCCGUAAGAC